rnacentral:rRNA from 1 species
UUAAGCGACUAAGCGUACACGGUGGAUGCCCUGGCAGUCAGAGGCGAUGAAGGACGUGCUAAUCUGCGAUAAGCGUCGGUAAGGUGAUAUGAACCGUUAUAACCGGCGAUUUCCGAAUGGGGAAACCCAGUGUGAUUCGUCACACUAUCAUUAACUGAAUCCAUAGGUUAAUGAGGCGAACCGGGGGAACUGAAACAUCUAAGUACCCCGAGGAAAAGAAAUCAACCGAGAUUCCCCCAGUAGCGGCGAGCGAACGGGGAGCAGCCCAGAGCCUGAAUCAGUGUGUGUGUUAGUGGAAGCGUCUGGAAAGGCGCGCGAUACAGGGUGACAGCCCCGUACACAAAAAUGCACAUACUGUGAGCUCGAUGAGUAGGGCGGGACACGUGGUAUCCUGUCUGAAUAUGGGGGGACCAUCCUCCAAGGCUAAAUACUCCUGACUGACCGAUAGUGAACCAGUACCGUGAGGGAAAGGCGAAAAGAACCCCGGCGAGGGGAGUGAAAAAGAACCUGAAACCGUGUACGUACAAGCAGUGGGAGCACAGAGCAAUCUGUGUGACUGCGUACCUUUUGUAUAAUGGGUCAGCGACUUAUAUUCUGUAGCAAGGUUAACCGAAUAGGGGAGCCGAAGGGAAACCGAGUCUUAACUGGGCGUUAAGUUGCAGGGUAUAGACCCGAAACCCGGUGAUCUAGCCAUGGGCAGGUUGAAGGUUGGGUAACACUAACUGGAGGACCGAACCGACUAAUGUUGAAAAAUUAGCGGAUGACUUGUGGCUGGGGGUGAAAGGCCAAUCAAACCGGGAGAUAGCUGGUUCUCCCCGAAAGCUAUUUAGGUAGCGCCUCGUGAAUUCAUCUCCGGGGGUAGAGCACUGUUUCGGCAAGGGGGUCAUCCCGACUUACCAACCCGAUGCAAACUGCGAAUACCGGAGAAUGUUAUCACGGGAGACACACGGCGGGUGCUAACGUCCGUCGUGAAGAGGGAAACAACCCAGACCGCCAGCUAAGGUCCCAAAGUCAUGGUUAAGUGGGAAACGAUGUGGGAAGGCCCAGACAGCCAGGAUGUUGGCUUAGAAGCAGCCAUCAUUUAAAGAAAGCGUAAUAGCUCACUGGUCGAGUCGGCCUGCGCGGAAGAUGUAACGGGGCUAAACCAUGCACCGAAGCUGCGGCAGCGACGCUGAUGCGUUGUUGGGUAGGGGAGCGUUCUGUAAGCCUGUGAAGGUGUGCUGUGAGGCAUGCUGGAGGUAUCAGAAGUGCGAAUGCUGACAUAAGUAACGAUAAAGCGGGUGAAAAGCCCGCUCGCCGGAAGACCAAGGGUUCCUGUCCAACGUUAAUCGGGGCAGGGUGAGUCGACCCCUAAGGCGAGGCCGAAAGGCGUAGUCGAUGGGAAACAGGUUAAUAUUCCUGUACUUGGUGUUACUGCGAAGGGGGGACGGAGAAGGCUAUGUUGGCCGGGCGACGGUUGUCCCGGUUUAAGCGUGUAGGCUGGUUUUCCAGGCAAAUCCGGAAAAUCAAGGCUGAGGCGUGAUGACGAGGCACUACGGUGCUGAAGCAACAAAUGCCCUGCUUCCAGGAAAAGCCUCUAAGCAUCAGGUAACAUCAAAUCGUACCCCAAACCGACACAGGUGGUCAGGUAGAGAAUACCAAGGCGCUUGAGAGAACUCGGGUGAAGGAACUAGGCAAAAUGGUGCCGUAACUUCGGGAGAAGGCACGCUGAUAUGUAGGUGAAGUCCCUCGCGGAUGGAGCUGAAAUCAGUCGAAGAUACCAGCUGGCUGCAACUGUUUAUUAAAAACACAGCACUGUGCAAACACGAAAGUGGACGUAUACGGUGUGACGCCUGCCCGGUGCCGGAAGGUUAAUUGAUGGGGUUAGCGCAAGCGAAGCUCUUGAUCGAAGCCCCGGUAAACGGCGGCCGUAACUAUAACGGUCCUAAGGUAGCGAAAUUCCUUGUCGGGUAAGUUCCGACCUGCACGAAUGGCGUAAUGAUGGCCAGGCUGUCUCCACCCGAGACUCAGUGAAAUUGAACUCGCUGUGAAGAUGCAGUGUACCCGCGGCAAGACGGAAAGACCCCGUGAACCUUUACUAUAGCUUGACACUGAACAUUGAGCCUUGAUGUGUAGGAUAGGUGGGAGGCUUUGAAGUGUGGACGCCAGUCUGCAUGGAGCCGACCUUGAAAUACCACCCUUUAAUGUUUGAUGUUCUAACGUUGACCCGUAAUCCGGGUUGCGGACAGUGUCUGGUGGGUAGUUUGACUGGGGCGGUCUCCUCCUAAAGAGUAACGGAGGAGCACGAAGGUUGGCUAAUCCUGGUCGGACAUCAGGAGGUUAGUGCAAUGGCAUAAGCCAGCUUGACUGCGAGCGUGACGGCGCGAGCAGGUGCGAAAGCAGGUCAUAGUGAUCCGGUGGUUCUGAAUGGAAGGGCCAUCGCUCAACGGAUAAAAGGUACUCCGGGGAUAACAGGCUGAUACCGCCCAAGAGUUCAUAUCGACGGCGGUGUUUGGCACCUCGAUGUCGGCUCAUCACAUCCUGGGGCUGAAGUAGGUCCCAAGGGUAUGGCUGUUCGCCAUUUAAAGUGGUACGCGAGCUGGGUUUAGAACGUCGUGAGACAGUUCGGUCCCUAUCUGCCGUGGGCGCUGGAGAACUGAGGGGGGCUGCUCCUAGUACGAGAGGACCGGAGUGGACGCAUCACUGGUGUUCGGGUUGUCAUGCCAAUGGCACUGCCCGGUAGCUAAAUGCGGAAGAGAUAAGUGCUGAAAGCAUCUAAGCACGAAACUUGCCCCGAGAUGAGUUCUCCCUGACCCUUUAAGGGUCCUGAAGGAACGUUGAAGACGACGACGUUGAUAGGCCGGGUGUGUAAGCGCAGCGAUGCGUUGAGCUAACCGGUACUAAUGAACCGUGAGGCUUAACCUU